UUCCGGUUGAUCCUGCCGGACCCCACUGCUAUCGGGAUGGGACUAAGACAUGCUAGUCGAGCGUCUCUAAGCUAUGGAAGAGACGCGGCACACAGCUCAGUAACACGUGGCUAACCUGCCCUUGGGGCAAGGACAACUCCGGGAAACUGGGGCUAAUCCCUGAUAGGUGAGAACUCCUGGAAUGGAUUCUCGCUGAAAGGACGUUUAGACCAUGCUUCUAGGCGUCGCCCAAGGAGGGGGCCGCGACCGAUCAGGUUGUUGGUGAGGUAACGGCUCACCAAGCCUUUAACCGGUACGGGCCGUGAGAGCGGAAGCCCGGAGAUGGGCACUGAGACAAGGGCCCAGGCCCUACGGGGCGCAGCAGUCGCGAAAACUCCGCAAUACACGAAAGUGUGACGGGGCUAUCCCGAGUGCCAUCCGCUGAGGAUGGCUUUUCCCCAGUGUAUAAAGCUGGGGGAAUAAGGAGAGGGCAAGCCUGGUGUCAGCCGCCGCGGUAAUACCAGCUCUCCGAGUGGUGGGGAUGUUUAUUGGGCCUAAAGCAUUCGUAGCCUGCUUGGCAAGUCCUCCGUUAAAUCCAACGAUUCAAUCGUUGGGCUGCGGGGGAUACUGUCCGGCUAGGGGGCGGGAGAGGCCGACGGUAUCCCCGGGGUAGGGGUGAAAUCCUAUAAUCCCGGGAGGACCACCAGUGGCGAAGGCUGUCGGCUAGAACGCGCUCGACGGUGAGGGAUGAAAGCUGGGGGAGCGAACGGAUUAGAUACCCGGGUAGUCCCUGCUGUAACGAUGCGAGCUAGGUGUUGGGGCGGCUACCGAGCCGCUUCAGUGCGCAGCGAAGGCGUAAGCUCGCCGCCUGGGGAGUACGGCGCAAGGCUGAACUUAAGGAAUUGCGGGGGACACCACAAGGCGUGAAUCUUGGGGGUCAUUGGAGUC
rnacentral:rRNA from 1 species